rnacentral:rRNA from 1 species
UACGUAGGGUGCGAGCGUUGUCCGGAUUUAUUGGGCGUAAAGAGCUCGUAGGCGGUUUGUCGCGUCGGCCGUGAAAUCUCCACGCUUAACGUGGAGCGUGCGGUCGAUACGGGCAGACUUGAGUUCGGUAGGGGAGACUGGAAUUCCUGGUGUAGCGGUGAAAUGCGUAGAUAUCAAGAGGAACACCUGCGGCGAAGGCGGGUUGCGGGGCCGACACUGACGCUGAGGCGCGAAAGCUAGGGGAGCGAACGGG